CCCCCGGCCCAUGAGCACCAUGCGCCUGCUGCUGCUCGCCGUGCUCGUCUCCUUCUCCUUCGCCCGCGCCGGCUGCGAGCCCAAGAUCGUCAACAUCGGCGCGGUGCUGAGCACCAGGAAGCACGAGCAGCUCUUCCGCGAGGCGGUGAGCCAGGCCAACAAGCGCCACGGCACGUGGAAGAUCCAGCUGAACGCCACCUCCGUCACCCACAAGCCCAACGCCAUCCAGAUGGCCCUGUCCGUCUGCGAGGACCUCAUCUCCAGCCAGGUCUAUGCAAUAUUAGUUAGUCACCCACCUGCUCCAAAUGAUCACCUAACACCAACACCUGUAUCAUACACAGCUGGCUUCUACAGGAUUCCUGUCAUUGGUCUGACAACACGCAUGUCUAUAUAUUCUGAUAAGAGCAUCCACCUGUCCUUCCUGCGCACUGUCCCACCGUACUCUCACCAGUCCAAUGUCUGGUUUGAGAUGAUGCGAGUGUACAACUGGAAUCACAUCAUACUAAUAGUCAGUGAUGACCAUGAGGGUCGCGCUGCACAGAAGAAGCUGGAGACGCUGCUGGAAGAGAGAGAAUCCAAGAGUAAAAAAAGGAACUAUGAAAACCUCGACCAACUUUCCUAUGACAACAAGCGAGGACCCAAGGCUGAGAAAGUUCUUCAGUUUGACCCGGGAACCAAAAACGUGACUUCACUGCUGCUUGAAGCGAAGGAGCUGGAGGCUCGGGUUAUCAUCCUCUCUGCAAGUGAGGAUGACGCUGCCACAGUGUACAGAUCGGCAGCCAUGCUGAAUAUGACGGGCUCAGGAUACGUGUGGCUGGUGGGGGAGAGAGAGAUAUCUGGCAAUGCCCUGCGAUACGCCCCUGACGGCGUGAUUGGUUUGCAGCUCAUUAACGGGAAGAACGAGUCAGCUCACAUCAGCGAUGCCGUCGCAGUGGUAGCUCAGGCAGUGCAUGACUUAUUCGAGAAGGAGAAUAUCACGGACCCCCCGAGAGGCUGCGUUGGGAACACCAACAUCUGGAAGACUGGCCCUCUUUUCAAGAGAGUGUUGAUGUCGUGCAAGUACACUGAGGGCGUGACCGGGAGAGUGGAGUUCAAUGAAGACGGGGACAGGAAAUUCGCCAAUUACAGCAUCAUGAACCUGCAGAACCGGAAACUGGUUCAAGUUGGGGUUUACAAUGGCAGCCAUGUCCUGCCCAAUGACCGGAAGAUCAUCUGGCCGGGGGGAGAGACAGAGAAACCAGCGGGCUAUCAGAUGUCAACCAAAUUGAAGAUUGUGACAAUUCACCAAGAGCCCUUUGUGUACGUGAAAGCAACACAAGCCGAUGGAACAUGUAAGGAAGAAAUUACCAUCAAUGGAGACCCCGUGAAAAAGGUCUUUUGCACUGGACCCAAUGAGACCAUCCCAGGCCGCCCCACUGUGGCACUGUGCUGCUAUGGCUUCUGCAUCGACCUGCUGAUCAGACUUGCAGGGGUGAUGAAUUUCACCUACGAAGUUCACCUGGUUGCUGAUGGUAAAUUUGGCACACAGGAGCGGGUCAAUAACAGCAAUAAGAAGGAGUGGAACGGGAUGAUGGGGGAGCUCCUGAGCGGCCAGGCAGACAUGAUCGUGGCGCCCCUCACCAUCAACAACGAGCGUGCGCAGUACAUUGAGUUCUCCAAGCCCUUCAAGUACCAGGGGCUCACCAUCCUGGUGAAGAAGGAAAUCCCCCGCAGCACCCUCGACUCGUUCAUGCAGCCUUUCCAGAGCACGCUGUGGCUGCUGGUGGGACUCUCAGUGCAUGUGGUGGCCGUGAUGUUAUAUCUCUUAGACCGGUUCAGCCCCUUUGGCCGGUUCAAGGUUAACAGUGAGGAAGAGGAGGAAGACGCACUGACCCUCUCCUCGGCCAUGUGGUUCUCCUGGGGAGUGCUGCUGAACUCUGGGAUCGGAGAGGGUGCUCCCCGGAGUUUCUCUGCUCGUAUCCUUGGCAUGGUGUGGGCUGGCUUUGCUAUGAUCAUUGUGGCUUCCUACACUGCCAACCUGGCUGCCUUCCUGGUGUUAGACAGACCUGAAGAGAGAAUCACAGGCAUUAACGACCCUAGGCUGCGGAACCCCUCCGAUAAGUUCAUCUACGCCACGGUGAAGCAGAGCUCGGUGGACAUUUACUUCCGGCGGCAGGUGGAGCUGAGCACCAUGUACCGGCACAUGGAGAAGCACAACUACGAGAGCGCUGCCGAAGCCAUCCAGGCCGUCAGGGACAACAAGCUCCACGCCUUCAUCUGGGACUCGGCAGUGCUGGAGUUUGAAGCCUCCCAGAAGUGUGACCUGGUGACAACGGGGGAGCUUUUCUUCCGCUCUGGCUUUGGGAUUGGGAUGCGCAAAGACAGCCCCUGGAAGCAGAACGUCUCCCUGGCCAUCCUCAAAUCCCAUGAGAACGGCUUCAUGGAGGAUUUGGACAAGACUUGGGUGAGGUAUCAGGAGUGUGAUUCCCGUAGCAAUGCCCCAGCAACACUCACCUUUGAAAAUAUGGCAGGUGUAUUUAUGCUGGUGGCUGGAGGUAUUGUUGCCGGGAUAUUUUUAAUAUUCAUAGAAAUAGCUUACAAAAGGCAUAAGGAUGCGCGGAGGAAGCAGAUGCAGCUGGCGUUUGCGGCCGUUAAUGUGUGGCGGAAAAACCUGCAGUCCUCUCUCUCUCUUGUGGCGCUAGGAUUCAGCUUCAGAAAAGGCCCAGAGCAUUUUUUUUUAGUGGAUAGAAAAAGUGGUAGAGCAGAACCUGACCCUAAAAAGAAAGCCACUUUUAGGUCCAUCACCUCCACCCUGGCCUCCAGCUUCAAGAGACGUAGGUCCUCCAAAGAUACGGAUAUGCAGCACAUGCCAGCUGGUUCAGAGAACGCAGGGGAAGCCCCCCGGCACCUUGAGGAAGGGAUCAGAGACAGCAGACUGGAAGGAACCACAGCGCUAGUGUUACCCGUGCUGCACUCUCCAGGCGGAGAAGCUCUCAGCCUGCACUAAUGACCCCCCCAUCACAUCACAUCACAUCCCCGAAACCCAGUACCGCUGAGCAGGCAGGAGGGUGUGAGCAGUAUCAUCCCACUGACAUCACCGGGCAGCUCAACCUCUCCGACCCCUCAGUCAGCACUGUGGUGUGACGUCCUCCAGCAGGAGCCAUCAGUCCCUAGUUUAAGACGGCCCAGCCCAGGACUUCCUUUCAAAGGGACACUGAUGGGUCCUGACUGGUGAGUCAAGAGGGAUGCAUCCUCCAUCCAUACGCAGUGACUGCAUUGUCUCUCUCCUGCCCUUCCUGGUCCCACUGACACGUAACGCCCCAGAUUGCACUACAGAACUAGGGACCAUUCUGGAGCUGCACUGUACAGAGAUGAUCACUUCCACGUCAUGCUAUGUUUUACUCAGUAUUUCCACUGGCUGCAGAUGAGUUGGAAUUAAGGCAAGAGGAGACGGCUCUGAACGGCCCACGGCACCUGGCCGUCUCAUGGAGCAGCGGCAGGAAAGGCAGGGAAGGAGUGGAUGUUGCAUCCUUUGCAGGGGGUGGAGGACAAUUUGCUGAGACCUUGUUUGUUCCUAAGCAUGUGUAUGGACUAUCAUAGCCUCUGCCACAUACUUCACAUGCCACAGGAGGACUGUGACGUGGUCUGGUAGCACUGGAGCUGCUGGUUCCUGUCCAUAGCUCAGCACGCAAGGCACAUGUCUGCCUCUGUUCUGGUGUCGUCGUUUCAGGGAGCGGGUGCAGCCACACAGUCCAUUGAUGAAACAUGUUCCCUCUGGCUACAGUUGGGAAGAGCCUUUUCUCCAGCUCUCUCCAUUUCCAGAUGAUGAUAAAGUCCACAGCUCCCUAUUCACCCACCCCUCCUGUCUGCACCAAGCCAGCCCCUGCCCUGCGCCCACAUUAGCCAUCUGUUUCUACAUGGCCAUUUGCUAUAUGAGU